rnacentral:rRNA from 1 species
GACGAACGCUGGCGGCGUGCCUAAUACAUGCAAGUAGAACGCUGAAGGAGGAGCUUGCUUCUCUGGAUGAGUUGCGAACGGGUGAGUAACGCGUAGGUAACCUGCCUGGUAGCGGGGGAUAACUAUUGGAAACGAUAGCUAAUACCGCAUAAUAGUAGAUGUUGCAUGACAUUUGCUUAAAAGGUGCAAUUGCAUCACUACCAGAUGGACCUGCGUUGUAUUAGCUAGUUGGUGAGGUAACGGCUCACCAAGGCAACGAUACAUAGCCGACCUGAGAGGGUGAUCGGCCACACUGGGACUGAGACACGGCCCAGACUCCUACGGGAGGCAGCAGUAGGGAAUCUUCGGCAAUGGACGGAAGUCUGACCGAGCAACGCCGCGUGAGGGAAGAAGGGUUUCGGAUCGUAAAGCUCUGUUGUAAGAGAAGAACGAGUGUGAGAGUGGAAAGUUCACACUGUGACGGUAUCUUACCAGAAAGGGACGGCUAACUACGUG